AAAGGUGAAAAGCACCCCGGAAGGGGAGUGAAACAGUUCCUGAAACCGUGUGCCUACAAGUAGUUAGAGCCCGUUAAUGGGUGAUAGCGUGCCUUUUGUAGAAUGAACCGGCGAGUUACGAUUUGUUGCAAGGUUAAGCGGAAAAAGCGGAGCCGUAGCGAAAGCGAGUCUGAAUAGGGCGCAUAAGUAACAGGUCGUAGACCCGAAACCAGGUGAUCUACCCAUGUCCAGGAUGAAGGUAAGGUAAUACUUACUGGAGGUCCGAACCCACGCACGUUGAAAAGUGCGGGGAUGAGGUGUGGGUAGCGGAGAAAUUCCAAUCGAACUUGGAGAUAGCUGGUUCUCUCCGAAAUAGCUUUAGGGCUAGCCUCGAGGUAAAGAGUCAUGGAGGUAGAGCACUGUUUGGACUAGGGGCCCUUCUCGGGUUACCGAAUUCAGAUAAACUCCGAAUGCCAUGUACUUAUACUCGGGAGUCAGACUGCGAGUGAUAAGAUCCGUAGUCGAAAGGGAAACAGCCCAGACCACCAGUUAAGGUCCCCAAAUAUAUGUUAAGUGGAAAAGGAUGUGGGGUUGCUUAGACAACCAGGAUGUUGGCUUAGAAGCAGCCACCAUUGAAAGAGUGCGUAAUAGCUCACUGGUCGAGUGACCCCGCGCCGAAAAUGUACCGGGGCUAAACAUAUUACCGAAACUGUGGAUGAACCUCUUUAGAGGUUCGUGGUAGGAGAGCGUUCUAAGGGCGGUGAAGUCAGACCGGAAGGACUGGUGGAGCGCUUAGAAGUGAGAAUGCCGGUAUGAGUAGCGAAAGAAGGGUGAGAAUCCCUUCCACCGAAUAUCUAAGGUUUCCUGAGGAAGGCUCGUCCGCUCAGGGUUAGUCGGGACCUAAGCCGAGGCCGAUAGGCGUAGGCGAUGGACAACAGGUAGAGAUUCCUGUACCAGUGCUAAUUGUUUAACCGAUGGGGUGACACAGAAGGAUAGGGAAUCGCACGAAUGGAAAUGUGCGUCCAAGCAGUGAGUGUGAGAAGUAGGCAAAUCCGCUUCUCGCGAAGCAUGAGCUGUGAUGGGGAAGGAAAUUAAGUACGGAAGUUCCUGAUUUCACGCUGUCAAGAAAAGCCUCUAGGAAGAGUAGUACUGCCCGUACCGCAAACCGACACAGGUAGAUGAGGAGAGAAUCCUAAGGUGAGCGAGAGAACUCUCGUUAAGGAACUCGGCAAAAUGACCCCGUAACUUCGGGAGAAGGGGUGCUCUAUUAGGGUGCAAGCCCGAGAGAGCCGCAGUGAAUAGGCCCAGGCGACUGUUUAGCAAAAACACAGGUCUCUGCAAAACCGUAAGGUGACGUAUAGGGGCUGACGCCUGCCCGGUGCUGGAAGGUUAAGAGGAGUGCUUAGCUUCGGCGAAGGUACGAAUUGAAGCCCCAGUAAACGGCGGCCGUAACUAUAACGGUCCUAAGGUAGCGAAAUUCCUUGUCGGGUAAGUUCCGACCCGCACGAAAGGCGCAACGAUCUGGGCACUGUCUCAACGAGAGACUCGGUGAAAUUAUAGUACCUGUGAAGAUGCAGGUUACCCGCGACAGGACGGAAAGACCCCGUGGAGCUUUACUGCAACCUGAUAUGGAAUGUUUGUACCGCUUGUACAGGAUAGGUAGGAGCCGAAGAGACGUGUGCGCUAGCAUACGAGGAGGCAAUGGUGGGAUACUACCCUGGCUGUAUGACCAUUCUAACCCGCCACGCUUAGCGCGUGGGGAGACAGUGUCAGGUGGGCAGUUUGACUGGGGCGGUCGCCUCCUAAAGAGUAACGGAGGCGCCCAAAGGUUCCCUCAGAAUGGAUGGAAAUCAUUCGCAGAGUGUAAAGGCACAAGGGAGCUUGACUGCGAGACUGACAAGUCGAGCAGGGACGAAAGUCGGGCUUAGUGAUCCGGUGGUUCCGCAUGGAAGGGCCAUCGCUCAACGGAUAAAAGCUACCCCGGGGAUAACAGGCUUAUCUCCCCCAAGAGUCCACAUCGACGGGGAGGUUUGGCACCUCGAUGUCGGCUCGUCGCAUCCUGGGGCUGUAGUCGGUCCCAAGGGUUGGGCUGUUCGCCCAUUAAAGCGGCACGCGAGCUGGGUUCAGAACGUCGUGAGACAGUUCGGUCCCUAUCCGUCGCGGGCGCAGGAAAUUUGAGAGGAGC
rnacentral:rRNA from 1 species